rnacentral:rRNA from 1 species
GACGAACGCUGGCGGCGUGCUUAACACAUGCAAGUCGAACGGAAAGGCCCUGCUUUUGUGGGGUGCUCGAGUGGCGAACGGGUGAGUAACACGUGAGUAACCUGCCCUUGACUUUGGGAUAACUUCAGGAAACUGGGGCUAAUACCGGAUAGGAGCUCCUGCUGCAUGGUGGGGGUUGGAAAGUUUCGGCGGUUGGGGAUGGACUCGCGGCUUAUCAGCUUGUUGGUGGGGUAGUGGCUUACCAAGGCUUUGACGGGUAGCCGGCCUGAGAGGGUGACCGGCCACAUUGGGACUGAGAUACGGCCCAGACUCCUACGGGAGGCAGAAGUGGGGAAUAUUGCACAAUGGGCGGAAGCCGGAUGCAGCAACGCCGCGUGCGGGAUGACGGCCUUCGGGUUGUAAACCGCUUUCGCCUGUGACGAAGCGUGAGUGACGGUAAUGGGUAAAGAAGCACCGGGUAACUACGUG